rnacentral:rRNA from 1 species
UACGUAGGUGGCAAGCGUUGUCCGGAAUUACUGGGUGUAAAGGGUGCGCAGGCGGGACUGCAAGUUGGAUGUGAAAUACCGGGGCUCAACCCCGGGGCUGCAUCCAAAACUGUAGUUCUUGAGUGAAGUAGAGGUAGGCGGAAUUCCGAGUGUAGCGGUGAAAUGCGUAGAGAUUCGGAGGAACACCAGUGGCGAAGGCGGCCUACUGGGCUUUAACUGACGCUGAGGCACGAAAGCAUGGGGAGCAAACAGGAUUAGAUACCCUGGUAGUCCAUGCCGUAAACGAUGAUUGCUAGGUGUGGGGGGACUGACCCCUUCCGUGCCGGAGUUAACACAAUAAGCAAUCCACCUGGGGAGUACGACCGCAAGGUUAAA